rnacentral:rRNA from 1 species
GAAUUAUGGACAAUGGGAGAAAGCCUGAUCCAGCAAUGCCGCGUACAGGAUGAAGGCCUUCGGGUUGUACAAUGCUUUUGUACGGAACGAAAAGCUCUAGGUGAAUACCAUGGAGUCAUGACGGUACCGUAAGAAAACGCUCUAGUAAGUUAAGUUCGAGAGCCCGCGGUAAUACGUAGGGUGCAAGCGUUAAUCGGAAGUACUGGGCGGAAAGCGUGCGCAGGCGGUUUUGUAAGACAGAGGUGGAAGCCCCGGGCUCAACCUGGGAACUGCCUUUGUGACUGCAAGGCUAAAGUACGGCAGAGGGAGGUGGAAUUCCGCGUGUAGCAGUGAAAUGGGUAUAUAUGCGGAGGAACACCGAUGGCGAAGGCAACCCCCUGGGCCUGUACUGACGCUCAUGCACGAAAGCGUGGGGAGCAAACAGG